rnacentral:rRNA from 1 species
AACGAACGCUGGCGGCAUGCCUAACACAUGCAAGUCGAACGAGACCUUCGGGUCUAGUGGCGCACGGGUGCGUAACGCGUGGGAACCUGCCCUUAGGUUCGGAAUAACUCCCCGAAAGGGGUGCUAAUACCGGAUAAUGUCUUCGGACCAAAGAUUUAUGGCCUUUGGAUGGGCCCGCGUUGGAUUAGCUAGUUGGUAGGGUAAAAGCCUACCAAGGCGACGAUCCAUAGCUGGUCUGAGAGGAUGAUCAGCCACACUGGGACUGAGACACGGCCCAGACUCCUACGGGAGGCAGCAGUGGGGAAUAUUGGACAGUGGGCGAAAGCCUGAUCCAGCAAUGCCGCGUGAGUGAUGAAGGCCUUAGGGUUGUAAAGCUCUUUUACCCGGGAUGGUAAUGACAGUACCGGGAGAAUAAGCUCCGGCUAACUCCGU